AGUAAAAGUCACAGGUUUGAUUUUUUUUUUUUUUUUAUCCCUUUCUUUUUCUCAGCUGCCAAGGAAUAAAGCUGAACUGAGGGGGAAAGGAGCAUUUAUUCCCAGUGGGUAAAGAGAGGCCGGCUGAAAUGAAGGAUUUUCUUCAGCUAUAGCGCUCCCCGGGGCAGCAAACCCCACCUCUGAGUUUCCAGUAAACCUAUCGGGACCACAAAGCAAACAAAUCAAGAAAUAUCAAGGUGUAUUUACUCUCCAGUUAACCUGCUGCCCCGCUCCCUCUCCGGCACACAUUGGCAGCACGCAAGGGUGCACCCUGACGCUGCGUCCCGGGAAGGGGGGCACGGCUGCGAGCCCGGCCGCGAAGAGGUGACCGAAUGAGGACCUGACUCCCAAUUCCUGCUCUCCGGCCGUCGCAGCGUGGAAAGGGGGGAGCUGGAGGGGAGCCUGUGCUGGGAACGGCGGCGCUGGGGGGGCUGUGCCAGCCCUUUGCGCUGUCUGCUCUCAGCAAGGCAGAAAAUUGGUUGUAAAGGGGAAUUCGCACGUGCCUGUUUGCAGCUGGGGCCGGCGGAGCUUAUGUUAGAGGUCACCUGGACUCGGCCGCUGUCGAAUACUGGCUGCACGUGAGAGGGGUUUCCUGAACUCCAUGUUUCAUUUGGUGACACAUCCAGAACCUCUGGGAAGAGCUCCUCCACAUAAGCUUGUCCUCAAGUUUUUUGUAGGUCUUUUUUUUUUUUUUUUUUUUUUUCAUUUUUUUCUUCUUCCUUCUUUUAAAGAGAAUAAGGCAAUCCCAGCAUUUCAAUGAAGUUGCCUCCUAGCCUCUUGUUUCACAGCACGUGGCCUUCCUGAAGAACCAAGGAAAUGCUGAUGAAUUGGGCGUAGGAGAUUUGCCUGCCGUUCCUUCCCCCGUCUAAUGUUCCUCCCUGCGCGUCCUGCCCCUAGUCGCUCCGUUAACUUGUCUCUGCUUAUAACGCUCCGUACAUCACACACAACCGGGUGCUUUGCGCUCUGAUUAAGAUCAUGCUGUGUACAAGAAAAUACAAAUUAGCUCCGGCCUUUGGGCUCCUAACAAGUUUCCAGCGCCACUUUCAGCACCACAGAGAUUGUGUAACUCCGCGUCCUCCGUGCAGUGACGUCUCCCCCUCCGUCAUGAGCGGGGCUGGCUGCCGCACAUCCAGGUUCAGCUGCGAAUGCUUCAAGCAGCUUUUAGCACUGAAGGAGUAAGAGAGGUUGCCAGCCGCCGGGUGAAAUGCAGGAACUUGAUUUUUCUUGCUAGGGGACAACGAUGCGGGAAGGGAUAGAAGGAGGAGGAUUUCCUGGGUAAUUCCUCAAAUCUUGAUGUUUGUGCAAAUACUUCCCAGUUUAAUGUGCGCUGAGCGACCCGGGAGCCCAGCACAGGGAGAACUAAUGCCUCAGGACAGGAUUAACCCUUGAAGGAAGAGUACAGUAGCAUCUUACAUAAACUGUGGCUUAAGUUUGCCAGAUCUUUUAUGCAACGAAGCACAGGGUGCUUUCCUGCCUCCUCCGGGGAUUCAAGCCGGGUACGCUGCGCUGCACCAUUUCAGUGUUGCUGGCAGGAGGGCUGAGGCUGCAGCUAUCAUCUCGUGUUUUCAGCAGAAACCUUUAAGUCUCGGCAACUUCCUCCAAAGAUGCUGAACCAAACACUGUCCAGACCCGCAAGUGAACGAGCUGCGAACGACAUCACUGGCUCGAAACGGCGCGUGGGCACGACGUGGGCGAAUGUUCCCUGCACUGGGUGUUUUCUAAAGUCUCGGCUGCUCCUGCGCCACCUCUUUGUCUGCUGAGUAUCAUCUCUGGUAUUUGUGUAACCAGCCGUGCCCUGCCAGGUGAGAGCCACUGUCCUCUGACUGAUGCGUGUGAGCUCUUCCUCUGCUCUCAAGAGACAAUAAUCAAGGGAAGGUCCCCUCAGCGUGCCGAGCCCAGCCGGCUUCCUCGUUCUUUGCACUCGCGCCGCCGGGCAGCUUUGUUCCACGUCAAGUGAAAACUUCCUCCUCCAGCCCACGAACACUGGACUCACCCUGAACAAACCAAGGUCUCCUCGCCACGCAACGCAGACGCCUCCUGAAAUGCGGCAUGUGUGUGUUUUUAUGGGCACCUUGGAUAAAGUUACAAGUGCAGCUGGUGACUGCAGCUUCAAGAUAAAACUUGCGACGUGACAACCUGAGAAGCGGCAAACUAAGGAGCAAAGAAUUGUUCAUUUUCAGACUCCAGCGUGGCUACACACACUGACGCUUCGCUGCGCAAACACAGAGCAACAACUUGAACUUGAGCAGCUAGUUGUCUCUUGGUAGUAGUUGUUAUAUUCCCUGUAAUUGUUUCUGCAAGAGCUUGCAGGCCCUACCAUUAAUAUGCAUCUUCCUGGGUGUGCUUUUGAAUCAGGUCGGUAAAGGAGAACCAUUAUUUUUCAUGAGAAAGCCUUUUGGUAUGUAUUGUUUCCAGAAACCCUGAAAUCAUCAUUUGUUACCUUGCUGAUGUUUUUUUUUUUACCACUAAUAAGCUCAACAUCAGCUUUUUAGAGGACUGAUUUGUCUGUGGCCACAUUCCGAGUUGCUGAAAUACAACAAUUUGUUGGAAAUACGUCGGGGUAUCUUGGAAAACAUGAGUACCGAAACACCCACUAAUGACAUCCUGCAGGUCAGAACCACAUGCACUUUCUAAAUAGGUCAGGAUCUGGUAGUUCUUGUAAGACAUCCUUUAUGUUUCCUGUAUUUCAUCCUCCGUUCAGUCACACAGCCUGCGUGCUGGAUUUAUUUGUUUUACAUUUCUUUUUCUGUCCAAUUUGCUGCCAAGUCAUCAUCUCAUGUUGCUGUCUUAUAUAAAUGUUAACAUUAGCUAGCUUCACAAUAACAGCCUGGAAAGGAAACAUUUACUUCUGAGCUUCCCCCUGCCAAACAAACAUACAGUGUGGUUUUUUGUGGCUACUGGUGGUUAAGGGCAUGGGAUACAAAAUUAUAAUGCCGUAUGCGCGGUUAGUCUAUUACAGUUACGAUCACCA